UCACGCGCAGCUGAUAGUAGCUACCGAGUAGCCAUUGGGUGGAGCAGCAGCGUCGCGUGCUGCGGAAUACAUUCAGUAGGUCGUUAACUAGGCGCGCGGUUUGUUGCAGAUGCAGGUCGCUGAGUGUGAGUGUGAGCGCGAGGCGGGGGGAAUGGCGAACGGCAACGGGAGCGGGUGCGCCGUGUGAUACCAGUAGCACACCGGAGACUGACUGAGAGGCUCGAGACGCAGCGAGAGGAGGCGAGCGGGCGGACAUGGAGGACUCGGAGCCCGCAGAGGACGGCUUGCUCGCGGGCUUGCGGUGGAACCGGAGCGCACGAGACCAGGCUCAGCUUAAACACAAAAUCCGGGACCUGCCGGGACUCCUGAAGCACGGGCUGCACCUGCGGAAGAAGAGCCAGUCACCUGACACUAUCCCGGGGCCGAGCAGUGGACCCACAGUACACAAGUCUUGCUCCCAGAGUUUCCCAUGUGCUGGGCGGGCUGUGAGGAACGCUUUCCUGUCUCAUGGACCGUACCCAGCCAAAGACAAGAUACACCUGGCC
rnacentral:lncRNA from 1 species